CAAGGACAGCACCCCAUCGGCAGUAGAUCACACACAGCAAGCAGGGGCUUCUCGUACUGGCACACUAGCACUUUCAGUUGGAGCAGAGGAAAAUGGGCUGGUCCAUGCAGGCCACAACAUUUGGCUGGACAAGACUGUCUGGGAGAAACUUAUGUCUUCGUCAAAGGACUCGCUCUUUGUAAAGGACAGUGCUGUGGCCAUUUGGUCGACCGAGCAAUUAGCACGCCGCAGCGUGACUGGAAAGCUGUCCAACAGGCACACUGCAGAAGGCAAGACAGCACAGAGCCCCCUGACACCUCAGAAGCUGAAAGCCAUUCACUGUAUGUUCGACUACUACGCGAGGAUGAAUGGUGCUGGC